rnacentral:rRNA from 1 species
GUGUCAGCCGCCGCGGUAAUACGUAGGUGGCAAGCGUUGUCCGGAAUUAUUGGGCGUAAAGGGCUUGCAGGGGGUUCCUUAAGUCUGAUGUGAAAGCCCCCGGCUCAACCGGGGAGGGUCAUUGGAAACUGGGGAACUUGAGUGCAGAAGAGGAGAGUGGAAUUCCACGUGUAGCGGUGAAAUGCGUAGAGAUGUGGAGGAACACCAGUGGCGAAGGCGACUCUCUGGUCUGUAACUGACGCUGAGGAGCGAAAGCGUGGGGAGCGAACAGGAUUAGAAACCCGGGUAGUCC